UGAGCUUAAAGGUGCAGAUCACGUAGAAGGGUACGAGAGCUGUUCUCGAGCGCGAGUUGCUUUUCGUGGAUUCUGGGUGUCCAGGUCCCGGGACGGAGCGGGAAAAUGUAGGCCAAGAUAGUAGGGGCGGGGGAGAGGUUCGGGAGAACCGUUGCUCCUCGCGUCCGCCACCCAGUCCAGCCCCUCCCCCCAAGAACCGCUGCACUUCCUAGUCAAAAGCAAAUUAUUG
rnacentral:lncRNA from 1 species